ACAACCUUCUUCCUACCAGAACCGCUAGAUAUACUCUCUCUCUACUUAGGCUUUGUUUGGAUCUAAAUUUUUUUUGGAUUUUGAUACUAUAGCACUUUCGUUUUUAUUUGACAAACAUUGUCCAAUCAUAGUGUAACUAGGCUUAAAAGAUUCGUCUCGUGAUUUAUAGGCAAACUGUACAAUUAAUUUUUAUUUUUAUCUAUAUUUAAUGCUUCAUGCAUGUGCCGCAAGAUUCGAUAUGACGGAGAAUCUUGAAAAGUUUUAGGUUUUUGGGGUCAACUAAACAAAGCCUUACAACCGUAUCGUCAUCGCUUUCGGUGAGGUUGUAAACUUGUAACUCGAUCGCGUACCAAUCGGUUUCCAAU
rnacentral:lncRNA from 1 species